UCCGUAGGUGAACCUGCGGAAGGAUCAUUAGUGAAUAUAGGACGUCCAACUUAACUUGGAGUCCGAACUCUCACUUUCUAACCCUGUGCACUUGUUUGGGAUAGUAACUCUCGCAAGAGAGCGAACUCCUAUUCACUUAUAAACACAAAGUCUAUGAAUGUAUUAAAUUUUAUAACAAAAUAAAACUUUCAACAACGGAUCUCUUGGCUCUCGCAUCGAUGAAGAACGCAGCGAAAUGCGAUAAGUAAUGUGAAUUGCAGAAUUCAGUGAAUCAUCGAAUCUUUGAACGCACCUUGCGCUCCAUGGUAUUCCGUGGAGCAUGCCUGUUUGAGUGUCAUGAAUACUUCAACCCUCCUCUUUCUUAAUGAUUGAAGAGGUGUUUGGUUUCUGAGCGCUGCUGGCCUUUACGGUCUAGCUCGUUCGUAAUGCAUUAGCAUCCGCAAUCGAACUUCGGAUUGACUUGGCGUAAUAGACUAUUCGCUGAGGAAUUCUAGUCUUCGGAUUAGAGCCGGGUUGGGUUAAAGGAAGCUUCUAAUCAGAAUGUCUACAUUUUAAGAUUAGAUCUCAAAUCAGGUAGGACUACCCGCUGAACUUAAGCAUAUC
rnacentral:rRNA from 1 species